GUCAGGACCGGCUGUCGAAAGGCCCGUGACCUGCCUCUUAAGAGCAGAGUGGUAAUUUAAUGAGAAGACCAAGUUUUAUCUCCAAACAGCAACUCCUUCUUUAGAUGAAGUGAGUUACAUCAAGAAAGGGACAAAAAGAACUUGAGCUGGAUUCAGGAAAACCAAGGCUGUUCAGUAAGAGUAAUAGCAGGAUCGGGUCCGUGUCUACCUGCGCAUGCUCAGGACGGGCCGCCAAGGUGGAAGAGAACUCGGGCGUCACUUGGCGUACUUGGUCGGAGUUGCUCCCUGGACUCCCCAGCGCGCCUGCGCUGCCUGGGAGUGGGGUCUGGAGUGACACUGGAGGACGGGGUUGCAGUCGGCGUCCCUCCCGCGCUUUUCCAGAGAAAGGGCGCACAUGGACGGUUCCCUGUGGAGCUAUCGAGGUUCCGAGGCUAGCUCCUAAUUUAAAGGCUUUCGGAGAACUGCGGAUACAAGCCCAGGGACUUCUCCCUAGGAAAACAAAAAUGUAACCUGAGCCGGAUCGUUAACAGCUUGCACCCGGACAAAAAGGGUGCCUACUCAGUACUUUGGCCACCUUAUGCGAAGAGUUGACUCAUUGGAAAAGACUCUGAUGCUGGGAGGGAUUGGGGGCAGGAGGAGAAGGGGACGACAGAGGAUGAGAUGGCUGGAUGGCAUCACCGACUCGAUGGACAUGAGUUUGGGUGAACUCUGGGAGUUGGUGAUGGACAGUGUGGCCUGGCGUGCUGCAGUUCAUGGGGUUGCAAAGAAUCGGACACGACUGAGCGACUGAACUGACUGACGGAACUAUUUUUUACAAGGAUGACAAAACUUGUACGAUAAUGUUUGCAUUUUUGUCUCAUCUCAAGAACUAUACUUUAAGCCUUUUAGUUCAGAUGGUGAAUUCAUCGGUUCCUUUAUAUUGUGAAAGGGUUGGCCUUGGUGUUUCUAAACCUUUGGUUAAUGUAAGUCCUAAUAAUUGGCCUCCUAAUGUCCAUUCUGCUCUGGUUGAGAAUCACCCUCUUCUGUGCAUGCCUGGGCACCAGGAAUGUUUGAUUGCGAUGGAUUUUAUGGAAAUAAUACCUAUUUUCAUAUUGAUGACUUGGAUAGCACCGUUGUCCUUUGCAGCUACUGGAGAGGUGGCCAGUCAGACCACGUUCAGUCAGACGACAGAAACUGUAUUCAUUAUGUAAGAAGAAAAUUUAAUAUUAAGAAUAAUGAACUUGGCGUAAAACUAAAUGGAAAACUGUAAGGGAAAAAAAGAACACUAAGACACCACGGCUACCAGGAGGAUAAGAUAAGGAUGGGUUUAGCAGGUGUGGCAGAAACCGCAAACUAGAUUCACAUGUUGCUAUGAAAGGGUGUUGCUGCCGGACUGAGGUAUUGGGACAAUGCCAACAAGAAUGAUGUACCUAAAAAGCCUGAAGGAAGCAAAUGAGAUGCACAAAGUUGAUUUUUUAUCCUUCUAGGAUUGCUUUUCAGCAGAAUCCAACGUGGAGACAGCUGGAAAAACAGAAAUGUGGUUUACAGGAUCUCAGCUCUACCAUCAGAAAGUGUAAUGUAGAAGUCUGGGUUUGGAGCUAAAAGACAAUAGGUUAAUAACUGACACAAUCUCUGAGAUGUUUUUGAGAUUUAAUAUGCCAUUUAUCUGUCUCUUAGACCUGCACAGGGUAAUACCUGAGUAGGAAUCUUAUGGUUUGCUUUUGUUUUUUAAUGUACUUUGAUUCAGAGAGUAAAUAACUUGUUUCAUAUUCUUGAUCUACUUCAUUGCCUUAUUUGACUUAAUGAGUGUCCUUGCUUUGUUCCUGUUCUUUUGUUCUUGUUGUGUUUUUUUUGUCUAUAAGAGUUAAAGAUAAUCCCAUUAUUCUAAUAGAGAUUUUUAUUAAGUAAGGGCUUUUGGUUUACCUAAAAUAGUGUAAUUAUCUUGAUUCCAAAUUAGAACACUUAAUGUAUUAUUCCAAGUUACUCUUUCAAAUGGUGGAAUUUUAAAUGUUUCCACACGUUAAAUUUUACAUAGUUUUAUUACUUUUUCUUUGAAUAAUGAAUCUUAGUUUUAAAAAUAUUCUUCAGACUAUGGGGUAUUUAAUUGGCCCUCUGUUAGAACAGCUUUAUUUUUAGUCUAAGCUACUGCCGAACUUCCAAACUUGGUUAAACAUUCUUAUCAUUCCUUUUUUAAUAUGGCUUAAUAUGCUAGUCUUUAACAUGAAAACAUUAUUUGCUCACGAGGAGUUCUCAUGAAAGUAGACUUUAUAUAAAUUGUGAUAUUAAACUUUCAGUAGGAAAUGGUCAAGUAGAGAGUAUUAACAAUGAAGUGUUCAAAAGAGCAAUG
ensembl:lncRNA